ensembl:lncRNA
UAACAUUAAUAAUAACAAUAAUAAUAACAAUAAUAAUAACAAUAAUAAUAACAAUAAUAAUAAUAGUAAUAAUAAUAAUAAUAAUAGUAAUAAUAACAAUAAUAAUAAUAGUAAUAAUAAUAGUAAUAAUAAUACACUUCACGAAAAUGUUUGUAUUGCUAGUGAAAAAUCUAAAAAGAAACAAAUAGUAGUUAUGGGAAAUGGUUUGUCCAAAAAACGUACAAACAACUUUGAAUAUGAAAAUACAGAAAAAAUAAAAAAAAAUAAAAAAAAUAAAAAAAUAAAAAAUCUUAUUAAUAGUCUUGAUUUGAUAAAACAACAUAAAAUUAAAAACGAUCACGAGUUUAUAGAGAAUUUUUCAAUUAGUUCUAAAGAUAUAAUUAUAAAAUUUUUAUCAUUUUUAAUUAAAUUUGAUUGGAAGCAUAAACCAUUAAUUAUAGAUUAUGAAGACAAUUUAAGUGAUGAAACUCGUAUUAAACUAAUUACUUCUUUUUCUGUUCGAAAUAACAAACAAAUGCAAAACGAAAAAACAAAAAAACAAAAACAAACUUCUUUUUGGAUUAGUUCUAUAUAUGACCCACACUGUUGUUUAAUUUCAUUACCACAUAAUAUGUUCGAUUACAUAAUAACAAUGGCAAAAAUGACAUUAAAUAAAAUAAAACAAAUGCACAAUAAUUUUGAAAAAGAAAAAUGGAUAUCUCUAUUUUUAAUGGACAUAACACAACAUGAUAUAAUGCUGAAAUUGAAAACGCCAAAUCAGAUGUUUGGUUGUUUGGAAUAUGGUUAUAGUCACACUAGUAAUAACAACAGUCGCAACAGUGACCAUAACAAGAGCGGCACUAGUAAGUUAAUUCAAAGUGAUAACGAAAAAGGGAAUAUACUUUUGUCAAACGAGCAGCAGGAUUGUUUAGCUAAUACUACGGCGGAUGAACAAAAUGGAGAUGAAGAUGAAAAUGAAGAUGAAAAUGAAGAUGAAAAUGAAGAUGAAAAUGAAAAGGAUAGUGAUAGAGAUAGUGACAGCGACAGUAACAGAGACAGCGACAGUAACAGCGACAGCGACAGUAACAGCGACAGCUAUAAUGGUGAAAAGGGAAAAAGUUACUUCAGUAACAACAGAAAAAUUUAUGAUCUAAAUUAUAUUAACAACUUAACAUCAGAAAACAAAAAAUUGCCUCAAAUUUUAAAAAAAUUAAAUAAACAUGAGCUAAUGUUUAUUUAUACCAACUAUUUUAAUAAUUUUAUUAAAAACUUAGAAAAUAAAUAUUCUUCGCAAAUUACUAUUUUAUACAACCCUUUAUGCUUUGAUAAUAUUGUAAAUAUUUUUAAGUUUAAAAAUAAAAUAAAAAAAAAAUUGGAAAAACAUAUAAGUGAAUAUGGUAAUAAUAUACAUAUAUCGUGGUCCCCCACAGUCUUUAUUAGUUUCAAUCCUGUAUACAUAAACACUUGGUCUAACACUUUUAAAAAUGGAGGAAAAAUGCACAAUGCUACUGACUGUGGUAGUGAUAGCGAAGAAGAGGAAGAAGUAACUUAUAAAGCAAAAAUAAACAAUGAAUUGUUAUCACUUAACAACUUUAACAUUUUAAUAUAUUAUAUAAAAAAAAACGCAGGUGAUAUAUUGAAGAGCAUUCAGUUUCCACCGUUAUGAAGGCGAACAAAUAAAAAUAUAUAUAAAAAAAAAAAAAAAAAAAAA